rnacentral:piRNA from 1 species
UAUAAAAGUUAGAUUGUCCGU